GUUGCGGGCCUGUGCAGGAGGGAGGGAGUCUCGGAGUCUCCACUCUCUCUACUCACGCAACCAUCUCCAUCCACCCCCGUGGCUCUGCAUCACUCCGGUUGACUGCGUACGGCCUCACCAUGGGAGUUAAGGGACUCUGGACCCUGCUGGACUCCACCGGGAGACCUGUCGACCUGGAGUCUCUGAGGGG